AAAAAUAGAAAUCAUCCACUUUCCCAACUUGGUAUUAUCUCUAGCUAAACCAACAAUUCACAAUUCCCUCGUAUCUCUCCAGUUAAUUCGCAUAAUUGGAAUUUUAAAAAUCGCCAUCUACAAAAACUGACAAAAGUUAAACCCGUCGUUUUCAAACCUAUGUUAUCACCUCUUCUAAAAACCCUUCCUCUUCUACACAGUUGCUCCUUCUCCGCCUACUUCCAUCUCCUUCUUGAACAUGGAAAACCACCCACCACCGAAGCAUAAAAUAUGCAUCGUCAAAAAGCAUCUAUCACCGCCCUCUCCAUCUCCACUCCGGUUUACCCCCAUCAAUUUUCAUCACUUUCACCUUAAAAUGGUAUCUGAAAAACAAAAACGCUUCCAAAAUUGCCCUAACCUAAUCAACGUCUUUUCUCUCUCAAUUCUUAAACCUCCGUUGCUUCACUUCUUCACAUCGGCUCUCCAGCCUUGCAUCUCCGGCGCCAUCCUCCUACACCUUCACAUUUUUAUCGCUACCCUCCUACACCUCUGGUACCACUUUCGCAUAACAGAGGUCGCUUCAGUUGUAGGAAAAUCCAGAUAUGUGGAAAUGGCUCACUGGAUAGAAGCAACCUCCUGACUCAAUCGAGAUGAGUCAUGCGAGUUAAACCUAAAAAACCUGAAUUCAUGUACUCUUUUUUUUCUUUUCUUAUGGAUGUUUAAUUUCAAGACUAGGCUGAUUUUGGAAAGUUUUUCUGGCAGAGACAAAAGGUUGAACACAAGCUGAUGGUCCUAGGAUGCAAGGAUUUAGAAAGAAGAAUUGUGGAAGCUAAGAUGAAAAUAACACUAGCAAAAAUUCAAGGUUUCCUCAUAAACAGCAUGGUUUCUCCUCCACACCAUUUGAAGAGCUUCAAAAAAUAGCAUUGCUUGAAACAAGCAAUGCCGAGUUACAGAAGCAGUUUCAAGAACUGAGAAAAAGGUUGCUUGUUUAGUCAAAUGUUAAAAGUUGACUUGAAGCUUGUUUAGUUUCUUGAUCACAACUAUUAUAAGGCCAUGGUCAAGAGAAUGAACGGAAUGUUCUGUUUCUUGUAGUGAUCUUAUUUUUACUUCUUGGUUAGGUUAAAUACAGUUUCAAUUCCAUGUUACCUUGAAUUAGGAGUUAUCUACAUUUUUAAGUCCAUAUCAUGCUCAAUUUGUUGCACAAAUUAUUCAAGGGAUAAGGAGUUUGGUUCAUAGUUUCACUAAUGUGCAUGUAUACAUUUUUCAGUCUAUCCACCACGACUACACAUUCAAUAAGAUCUGUAAGUUCAGUGUUUCACAGAUCUUUUUAUUUUUUAAUGUCAUUUUCACCAUGGAUCCUAAUGCAAUCUGAUGUGAGUAUUAAUGAAAAAAUCAUUAUAUAAACAUGUGUGUGUUUGUCUGGUGUCAUGUUAAAAGAUUCAUUAAAACAAUUUUUUUUAGUUUGAUGAUUUUAAACUUCAAGUUCAACAGUUGACUAAUAACCCGAAUAUUAUAGAUGAUUGACGUUUGAUAAUUAAUUUUAAGUUGUACUAACAAAUGUAUUUGGUCUAAUUAUCCUAAUAUUUAUAUAUAUAAUAUUAUUGAUGAUUUUAAGAUUUCAAGGUCCUUUUUGAAUUAUGACUACAAUCAUAUUAGCACUUGCUAUCUUGCAGAUAAGUAGGAAUUUUUAGAGCUUAAUGCAUUAGAAAACACAGGUAUCGAGACUGAUGAUUUAUUAUUUUCCAACUUGUAUGUAUAUAUAUUUUUUAAUCUUACCAUUCUU